AUCACUUCUUGGCCUUUUGGCUAAGAUCAAGUGUAGUAUCUGUUAUCAGAAUCCUAGUGGUGGAUUUAUACCCAUAUUGACAUAUAAUUUUGUAAAUCAAUAUUA
rnacentral:snRNA from 1 species